rnacentral:rRNA from 1 species
UACAUGGGGUGCAAACGUUGCUCGGAAUUAUUGGGCGUAAAGCGCGCGUAGGCGGUUAUCUAAGUCGGAUGUGAAAGCCCUCGGCUUAACUGAGGAAGUGCACCCGAAACUGGAUAGCUAGAGUACGAAAGAGGGUCGCGGAAUUCCCGGUGUAGAGGUGAAACUCGUAGAUAUCGGGAGGAACACCGGUGGCGAAGGCGGCGACCUGGGUCGAGACUGACGCUGAGGCGCGAAAGCGUGGGGAGCAAACAGG